UACAGAGGGUGCGAGCGUUGUCCGGAAUCACUGGGCGUAAAGGGCGCGUAGGUGGUGGCUUAAGCGUGCGGUGAAAGCUCGGGGCUCAACUCCGAGUCGGCCGUGCGAACUGGGCUCACUGGAGCAUAGUAGAGGCAGGUGGAAUUCCGGGUGUAGCGGUGGAAUGCGUAGAGACCCGGAGGAACACCAGUGGCGAAGGCGGCUUCCUGGUCGUGCGACUGACGCUGUGGCGCGAAAGCUAGGGGAGCGAACGGG
rnacentral:rRNA from 1 species